UAAAAACCGAAAACAAAGAACAAUGAUGAAACAAUGUUAUAAAUUUCUAAAAACAAUUUUCAAAAUUUAAAAACAAAAAACUGUCUUUGCCCAAACAAGCUCUAACUUUUCUUUCAUUGCCAAAAAGGUCUACUAGUCCCAUCCUGGCUUUUUUUUUUUCACAAUCCAAUUUGGUCUUUGGGUUGAAGACAUGAUUGAUGAUCAAGGUCCCACUUGUUCCCGCAGGACACUUCUAGGAAAUUGCGCAUGCUAGCUAGUAGCCUAGUUUUAAAGCAAUAAGACAAUUGUUUUGCCAGGAAAUGACCCACAAAAUACAUGAACACGGUAGCCAUAACAUGGUUAUCACAUCAACCCAAACACAGAAGAUUACCACAAAAACCCAAAUCACCGAGAACUUCCUUUUGAGCAAGUUCAUGUAGGAAAUAGACAUAAUCACAACAUACAGACAUGUCUCCACUCUCUAGAUGCCAGACUCCAAUGACCAACAAGCUCAUCCUUGUUCCUCAGCAUCAGCAAAUCUAAAAAUUGGAUGCAUUAAGUAAAUUUCCGAACUUGUAAACUAAGGAUGACUCGAGGCAAAGAUAUAAAGUCAUAAGAAUGAAACGGAAGCCCUUUACUUACCCAACUUCUGAGAGCUUCAAAUGGGCUUCAGCAUAGUCAGCAAAGAAGGCAUCCUCAUCCUAAAGAUAGAAAUCACCAUGAUCAAACCCAAAGAAACUUCUUGAACAUAUUGCUACAAAAAUACAGUAGUAAAAUUUGGUAAAUAAUUCUGAGCAGUCAUAAAUCAGAACAAAAUACGCACCAUAGCAUAUUUCUCAACCAGUGGGCGGAAGACUGGAUCCUCUAGGAGAGCCUUGUCUGAUGGCAGUUGGAUAAGACCUUCCUUUUCCCCGCUAAGCAGCUCCCUGAUAAACAAAAACGGAAUAAAAUUGAAAGGACCGUUAGAAUUUGAAUUAGAGCGGUGUGUCCAAAGAAAGCUCUACUUAUACCAGUCCUUGCAAUUUUUAACCAAUUUUCUUUGGUGUUAUCCAGAUGACUCACUUAAAGUAGGAGUUAUCAAAGAUGAGUGGAUUAGUAGUCCAGGGUCCUUCAAAUCCAGAGCGCUCCUUAUGGCACCUCCCCUGUAAAGCAAUUCCCACGGAAUAUCAUUCAUAUUAGAAAACAAGUUGCCAAGUCUCUGCAAAAGCACCAAAUGCCAGUCCCACAAAAGCACUCAAAAUUGUGAAAGGAACAUGGGAGGAACUUCAUCCGUCUUAGCAUACCAGAGUAUGACCACCAGAUAGUGCAACAAUAUCCUUGUCACUGAGACCCAUGUGGCCAAAUACAUCCCUUAGAUGGUCUGAACCUGAAGAGUAAGCAGAAUAUUAAAACAGAGCAUCAAAUACUUAACUAGCUAUCACCAUCUCAUUCCACUAUUUUAAAUUCCCAAGUUUUGUUUCUUUUACUUCUUAGUACAUAAAAAAGCACACUAACCUUUAGUUGCAUUAGGCAAGCGACCUUCUGGGGGUGGUUCAGAUUUGUCCUGAGAUUGACAAACACCUGCUCUUUAGUGCCUAAACUAGUCGCUAACAUGGAAAAUAAAUGCCUACUAACAAAUUAAUGACUUAGAAUGGAAGAAUUAGAAAUUAUAAGGAGCUUCAAGCGAACAGAUAGAAUAACUAUAUGUCUGGCACAUUCAAGUGAUAUUUCUACAGAAAGGCAGUAAGUUCAGAUACUUUCAUCCCAAGAUCCAACCUUGCCCACACUUCCUUAAUCCUACUAAAUUUGACAUAUCAACUACUAACAAAACAUGAAUAUUUAAUUUUUCUUUUUUGGUAAGAUCAGAUAUACCAAACCAAAUGAUAAUGAAGAAGGUUCUCUAACCUGUCUCCCAGGGUGAAAAGGGAUCUCAGGCCCUCCAGUAACUUCAACGGCAACAACUCCAGCCAACUUCAAUUGAUAAACAGAACCAAAAUCAAGAAUUAAUAAGCAAAAAGUAAUAACAAAUGAUCCACCAUUUUCAGAUUUUUCCCAAGUAACUAUCUGAAUUUUAGAAUAAAAAAUUGCAUCAGUUUUUGCUCUUUAAUGAACUAUACUUCAAAAUCACAACCAAACAGAAUCUAAGAGAACUCAAAAGGAAAAACAACAACUUCUUCCACUGCGAUUAUAGACCAAUGAUUCAAAUAUACCUGGUAGAAGUCUCCAUAAGAGAGGAUCGGAAAUUGCUCCUUGAUCGGUUCCAAUAGCCUGACAGCAAUAUCAAGACCAUUGUUAGCUUCGUGAGCAAGCUCCUCUGGGUGCUUCAUUGUCCCAAACGGACCUCCUGUUUUUGUCUUCACAUCGUAAGUCCCAGCGGAGUGCCAUCUGUAUAUAAAACAAACCACACACGAUCAAUGCUCACCUUCUCACUCGACAAACAAUCACGAAAACAACUAGUUCACAAGCAUAUAUUUGGGGAGAGAUAUUACGCUAGUCGAAGCAUCAGUGGAGCACAUUUCUUCUCAGCGAUGAACCCUCUGAGCUUUCUCUUACAUUUCUCGACUGCUUUCUGGUACUCCUCGCUCACAAUAGGGUAAGCCUUUCCCAUGACGACGAUUUUCUAAAAAAGUUCAACCCAACGACACCAAAGAUCACACCAAAACAACAAAACAAGCAAUCGGGAUGCAUUUGGUUGAUGAGAAAACACAGUAAAAGAGAAGAAAACAACUUUCGGAUUGAACGUUUUCCGGAACCGAUAGAACAAAAAGUCAAUAACCCAACUCAAACUAAACCUACCAGAACUAGAUACAUUUCUUUCUUCACAGUUUUCACAGUAACCAACGAGAAAAUAAAGAAAUCAAGCACUUAUAAUAGCAGGAAAAAAAAAAACUGCAUAAUAGAUAACUUAUCGAUAUCAAAAUAAACACAAAUUUAGAGUUGAAACCUUGGCUCAGAAGAAGCGGAACGUAGAGUAGAACGCGAUCACCACCUAAGGUUUCCGAACCUGAACACAGACCAUAUAUUCCAUACACGGAAGCUUCUGGUGUUGGUUCUCGACCGUUGGAUUUUUUGAAGUUACUCGAUCUUGCCUGACGGUGGGAUGAGGGGUGAGUGAUGUUUGACUAGUGGGAAAGGAAAGAUGGGACAGGCCAAUUGCAUGUUGAAACGUGUAGAAGGUAUGUGAUGGCAGUGUUAUUGAGGUGAUUGUGAUGGCGUGGCAGGUUUCUAUUGGGACAUCGCAUACACUUUGAUUGUAGUGACUCUAGUGAGCCAUGUGCUCGAAACAGUCGGUCAUUAAACUGAACACCACAAUCAAACAUACCAUAAAUAUAUAAUUUAUAUUUUAUUAAAAUUAAAAAUAUAUAAUUAAAUUUAGUAAUAUUUAUAAUACUAUUUAUUCCUUUUUAUAUAAAUAUGUUAAUGUUUUAAAUUUUAUUAAACAAAACAACAAUAUUCAAAUAUGAAAUUAUGUUGAAAAUGGAAGAAAGCUCGUAUUAUAUCAUUUUAUAUAUAUAUAUAUAUAUAUAAUUUUUAUAAUUUUUAACACAAAUAAAAGAGCAGUAGAGUGGUGAAGCUAUUUUUUCCUAAACCUGUCGUACUGUGGUUCAAGCCCCCCUCAUGUAUAUUCAAAUCUGCAUUCAUCCCACAUCGGAAAUGAAAGGAGAUGUAAAGGGCUUUCUAAGCCUCUUUCAUCCAUCAGAGACCACUUGGAUUUGGGCUAUUAGGUACAGUGCAUGCGCAAUGUCCCAUUUUGCAAAACAUAAGGGAGCAACUAAAUGUUGGGCCAUGAGGGGGAAGUCAAAGCCCAUUUUGCCAUAGUAGAAAUAAGGGAAGCAAAGGGCUAUUGGGCCCAUUAGGCUCAAUGCAUGAGCACUGACCCAUUUUGCAAAAUAAGGGGGCAUUAAAUGUUGGGCCGUGAGGGAAAUCUGGCCCAUUUUGCCAUAAGAAUAAGAGGACGUUAAACCGUUCAGACCGAAAAAGCCAUUGCUCGGUGGUUGGACCGGUUGGAUCGACUUGUCCGGUCCAUUUUUCAGAGAAGUGAGUUCUGGAAACAGGUUUCCUGCUAGUCACGGAAUGAGUAUGUUUAGUAGUUUAAUUUAUAAUUUAAAUUGGGUUUCGAUAAAAAAUUAAUUCCAAUUGAAUUUGGGUUGGAUGUGGGAUACUGGCACCAUCCUAAAGUCUGUGGUAGUUUGAGGAAAGAUAAAAUUCUCUCUUCAUCCAAUAUUGUGAAUGUGGAAGUGAUGUGGCUACAAAUUGGUUGGAAGGAUCUUUAAUAUUUUGUUUUGUUUCAAUUUAUCAUUCUGUGAAUCUAUCAAUUUUUUCUAGGGGAAAAGAUCAUGGGAGACUGUGACAUAAAAAAAACCACAAUAAUUUUAAAAAGUUUUAAUUAAAAUUUGAUAUUUGUAAUAUUAUUUUCAAAUUUAUGACUUUUUUUUUUUUAUAUUUUAUAAUAUCAAUUGAAAUUUAUUUUUAAAAUAGAGAAUUUCAAUUUAAAUAUGUAAUGUAAGUGCAUGAAGUUUAAAGGUUAAUUUCAUGGGCUUUUCUUAAGAUUUUAAUUAAAUAUAUUUAGUCUUGAUUUGUUUGAAAUUAUAGCAAAUACCUUUUUUAUUCUUCUUAUUUAUUAUUUUCAUUCAUCUCCCUUUAACUCAAAAUAAAAAAGUAUUUAAAAAUAUUUCAAACUAACGAGGAUUAGAUGUGUUUAAUCAAAAAUAAAAUUACCCUUAUUUCUAAAUAAUAAUUGAAUAUGAUUUGGAAAAGUUUUGAUCUCCUUUUCCGUUUUUGUUCAAAGUCAUAUAUAAAAACACACCACACUUAUGUAAGAAAUCUUUAGGACUUAUUUAGUAAUUGUUUUCGAAAAUAAUUAUAAAAAAUAGUUUUUAAAAUAUCUUAUAUUUUGUAGAAUAAAAGUUUGUUUGAAAAUCUAAAUUAUUUUAAAAUUGUUUUUAAUAUUUUUAAACAUGUUAUAAAAAUAAUUUUUAUAUCUAAUGUCUUAUUUUAAAUUAUUCUAUAUAUUUAUAUAAUUAUUUUUAAAAUAACCAUCAUACAACAAGUUAAAAUAAUAAAAAAAUAACUAAAAAUUAUUUUAUAAAAUUACCUUAUUUUUUAUUUUUUAUAAUAAAAAAACAAAAAAUAGUUUUUAAUUGUCAAAUAGGUUUUUCUGAUUUUUUAUUUUGAAAAAUAAAAAAAUAUUUUAAAAAACAUUUACCAUACAAAUCUUUAUUCUCUCUUUCUUGUUCUCUUCAAAAAUCAACUAAAGAACACAAAGACCUUAUGUUGAAGUUAGCAUGUAACCAACUUGUAGGCUUGCAUUUGACAUUAAAUGCACAAGCAUUGCAGCAUGCCUGCACACCAAAUUUAAGGAGUUUCAUCUCCAUUUAUGAAUUCAUAGAAUGUAGCCAGCUGGGUUAUAUGGAGGGCAAAAGAUGAAAAUGAAGAUCACACAGUGAAUCAAAUGCAAAGCUUCAAGCUUACAUGAGGUUGUAAGGUUAACAAGUCUUGGAUCUUUAGUUCGAUAGGGCUCCCACCACUCAAAAAAUUACAACUUUUUGUUGAAUAAAUUUAUUUGGGUUUUGUUGGUUUUGAAUGAUUGAUCCUAUUACCCACAUGUAAUUUUCCUUCUAUAUUAUUAAAAAUAAAAUAUAAUUUUCAUUUUUUAGUUUGUAAAACAUGUUUUUAAAUUUGAAUGGAAUUCAAAUUUGUUCAAUGACUUAAUUAAAAUUACCUAAAAUUCACCCCAAAUUUACAUUCCAAGGGUUGAUUUUAAUAAUCUUUCGUUAAGUAAGGAAGGGGUGGGGGAUUAACGAGACUGGGCGGUCGUUGGCAUAGAACUAUAGAAGCCUCCGACAUGCAGUUAUAAUGGGACGCUGACUCGGACUACUGGGGAUCCCGUUGUUAAGUAUAUGGUAUCAUUAUCAAAACCUAAUGUUUUGAGAAACUAUGCACUCGAAUCAGUUAAGCACUUGGCGGAGUUUGGCAGCUACCAUUAAAUCCAGGGAUUGAGAAAGUCGGUGUCCUUAGCCCUGGUUUGUCUUCUUAUAUAUAUGGCUGGCUCUUUCUUGGUUGAUCAGGCUCCUGCCCUCUACCCUCCUCGGAGGCUACUCUGCUUGUUCUCCAUAGAGCAUUGUAAGUUCUUAUUUCUUUAGCACCGAUCACCAAACUCUAGACACGAUGUUUGGUUUCUGAGAAAUCGCAGGUUGUUAUGGAAGUGGUGUUUGUGAUGGUGGAAGUCUAAGUUUCUUCUGUUUACUUGCGAUUUCUCAGCAACCAAAUGGUGGAUUAAUUUGAUGUAAUCAACGUUGUUCCAUCGAAUCAUUUGAUUCCGCGUUCAAAAUCCAUGAUUUUUUGGAAAUAGGUAUUAAUGACUUACGUUAUAAUUUCUGGAUUUCGAUUCAGGUUCAUGAUUUGCCCCAGUUGUUGCAAAUAGCGUUUACUUUUGUUUGUUUGAUAUGUUAUGUGCUGUAUUUUAAUUGAGAACUGCUAUUUUUUUUUCAACAAUUUUACCAAACUUUUUGUGAGUGAAAAUUAUUGGUUCUGCCUCUGCUUGUGAGCAUGAAUUUGUUGCAAGAUGGUGCUAGAUUAGCUUCCCAGUACAAGAGAAGAUGUGUAGUCACACUGUAUGAAUAUGCAAUAGAAGUGAAGUGACUGAUCCUGAAGUGGAAAUGUAGGGGUUGUUUGAUCCAUCUUGUUCUAUUAAAAGAAAAUUGUAAAUGUGAUUUUAUAACUUCUAAUCCGAUCUUCUUCAUUCAACCAUCAGUUAAAUGAUGAUUUCAAUUGACAGAUAUUAGUUUUUAAUUUUUAUGUAUAUUAAUUUUAUUAUUUUGAACUAAUAAUAAAAUUAAUAGUCUAUACAACAUGUAGCUUUGCAUCUAGAUCAAAGAAAAUAGAUGAUGAGAUUCUCUUCCAUCUCUCCAAAUGGUUAUUACACUAUUAAAUGAGUUAUCUAACCCUCUUUUUUUAUUAAAAGAUUAUUAGUUUCGUGACAAAAAUAAACCCACUGCUAAAAAAUUAAGAUAAUAUUAUAUUUAAAGUAUCAUUAAUGAGAAUUUGUUAUUUUUCACAUUAUUUUCACUCACAUCUUCUAUGUUCAAUCAACAUUUCAACUUCUGCAUGAUAAUUUUUAACUUUCAUAUAUCAAUUUUAUUAGAAAUAAAAUUAUUAGCUCAUGGCAUGUGUGCCUUGCAUCCAGCAAGAGGCUUAAAGGUUGCACUGAUAGUUGAUUUGCAGAAGAAGUUGAUUCAGAUGGUUUAGUCAAUAGUUACCAGAAUUCUUUCCAAGGUCCUUGUAUUCAAAGUAUAUAGGAAACCUAUCCGAUGCUUCAAGUGUUCCUUAAUGAGUGUUUCCCAGUUCAAUUCAUUAGAAACAUGAUGUUUUCCUGGAGCAAAUGUUUAGAUAAUAUUUUGGAAUUCCCAAAUGUGUUUAUAGUUCCUUUUUUUCGCCAUAAAUUCUGAUGAGCAAGAAAGAGUAAAUAAAUAUGAUUGCAAAUCUUAUUCACUCUUCACCCGUAGCAUAGACAUAACAUCCUUUCAAAUAGGUGGUUCAUACGAUAUUGUGAUGCUUUAUAUCCAUUUUCACCCACUGUAAUUAGUUUCUCUUUUUUUGAUUCCUAUCAUCUCCAAGCUGUUACCCUUCCAUAUUCCUUUAGACAAUAUUCUCCCCGUCAUUUCUUUGUUGCCUCCCUCUAUUGCUUCAGCAACCAUGCUCUGGAAUGUUCAAUUAAUAAGCCAAUUGCUGCACUAGUUAAGGAUUAUUUGUUUCAAGGUAUGGGCUUUGCAAGUAUAAUGUGUAUGAAAAACUGAAUGUGUUCAAAAACUUGUUUCCCUGCUUUCUAUUUUUGACAAAAAGAUGCCCACAAAUUGAGAAAGAAGUAGGCAACACAAAUUGAUGAGAUAAGAUUUGCCAGGAUCAAUGUUUGUUCAACAUUGAAGUGCUUGUGUCAAAUAAAUUGGUGAUGAUACCGCAAUUUUUUUUUUCCUGCCAUAUUUUUUAUAAUGCAAUAUGAAACACUAUGUGCAUAUUUAAGAAGGUAAAUAGAAAUAAUGUUAGACAUUAAAACUGCAAAUAAUUUAACCAGGUAGCGUUAUUAUUAUUCUAUAUACGUGUGUGUAGUUAUUUAUUUAUUUUAUUUUAUUUUUCUGAUAGUCACUGAGUUUUAGAAUAAUCAUAAGUGACAAUGAAGAAAAGAUGUGUCCCUUAUGCACUGAAGAGAUGGAUCUUACUGAUCAGCAAUUGAAGCCAUGCAAAUGUCGUUAUGAGGUUUGAACACUAAACUUUGUUUUGCAUAUUUAAAGCCCUCAGAAAUGAGAGUAAAAAAAUAUAUUCUUUGCCUGUCUCAAUUUUAUGUUCUAGGUGUAUGUGUGUUGCUUAGAUUUCUGGUUAUUGAUGUCUAAUUCCUUUGAAUGUGUCCCCACCUGUGUACACACACACAAGUGCCUAAGAAAAAGCAAAGAAAUAAUGUUGUUGAAGAAUGGAUCUAGAAUGUGGAUGAUAUGUCAAUAUGAUAAUAGUAUUCUUUAUACAAACGAGGCAAGCUCUAACUUUAAUGGUAAUUUUUGUGUUUUUUUAAUUUAAUUUUCUUUUGGUAAUUCUCAUUGCAUUUACUUCGAUUUUCUUUUAUCAGAUAUGUGUUUGGUGUUGGCAUCGUAUAUUGAAUGAGGCUAAUUCUGGGGGCCGUUGUCUGGCAUGUCGCUCACCAUAUGAUGAAGAAAAAAUCGUAGGCAUGGCAGCAAUCUGUGGAAGGUUGUGCAUGGCCGAUUAAUAACUUUGCUAUCACUCUAUGAUAUUCUGUGAACAGGUCGGUGGUCGGGAUCAAUGUUGAGCAUAAACAGAAAUUGCAGAAGGCCAAGUGGAAAGCACCUGAAGGAAGGAAGGAUCUAAGUAGCAUUUGAGUUAUUCAGCGAAACAUAGUGUAUAUAAUUGGAUUGCCUGUUAACUUUGCAGAUGAAGAUGUGAGUAGCUUCUAUAAAAAUUCUUAUCUCAUCCUCGAUAGCAUCUGAUUGAAUGAUUAAGUGGAACCUGAUGCAGGUGGCAUUUUUUUUUUCCUUUCCUUUCUAGUCCAACCCCCGUUGCAAUUGGAUUUUAUUCUUCAGUAGUGCCUGAACAGAUUUUAUUUGUUACCAGCUUCUUAAGCGCUGGGAGUACUUUGGCCAGUAUGGAAAGGUUCUGAAGGUGUCUAUCUCUCGAACACCAAGUGGGGUUAUUAUUCAACAUUUUGCAAACAAAAGUUGCUGUGUGUAAGGACAAAUGACCAUUAUUCGCAACCUUUUUAAGUGCAAUUUAUGAUUUCCCCAUCAAUCUUCAGCACUAAUUAGUAAUUAUUACAAUUGCUUUCAUUUAGCAUUGGUGAAUCAAUGUUAGAUGUGUACAUAUGCAUAUUUCCUUGCCUAGUCCAUUAUUUUCACAUUUUCUACUGAAACUUGGGCUAGGGUAUUGUAUGCUUUAUCUCUCUCCCUCCGGAAGGUUGAGCACUAGAGUCAAAUUUGGCAUUGUACCAGGUUGCAGAUUGUAUUAAACAUGCAUGUGUUUGUUGUUUAAUAGUUCAGGUGGUGCUUUUUCAUGGUUUAGGUAUAUAACAUACUCAAAAGAGGAGGAAGCCAUUAAAUGCAUUUGAUCAGUGCAUAAUUUUAUCUUAGAUGGUAGAUCCUUGAGGUAAGCUUAUGUUGUUUUCUCUAGUUCUCCAUGGUUAAAUAACCAUUGUUCAUUUGACACCUAGAUGACAUGGUAUCUGCAGGGCAUGUUUUGGAACCUCAAAAUAUUGUUAUUCAUGGUUGAGAAAUGUGGUAAAUAACUAAGAAAAUUUCAACUUGUUCGAGUCUUUUGUAAAAACUGGAACCAAAUGUGAUUCCAUUUUUGUUGACAACAAUGCUUUUGUUGGUCCGGCCUUGCAACAAUCAAGAUUGUUUGUAUUUGCAUGACUUUGGCUCUCCAGAAGAUAGCUUCAGCAAAGAUGAUAUUGAUUCAGCAUUCACAACAUAUGUUCUUUUAGGAGUGAAUCCACCUGCCCCUCCCCUCCCCCUCUGUGCAAGUUUUCUCUUAUCAUCUUUAACAUUGCUCAUGAUUUUCUUAUGGUUGCUCUAUUUGAAGUUUUUAUUAAUUUAAGGAGAUUAAAUUACUUACACAACUUAAAAUGUGCCUGUUUUGAGUGAAGAGGGUGGGAAGGACUUGGACAGGGAAAAGAUUUCUGUGAUCAGCAUGUGUUUUUCUUCUUCUUUUUUUUUUUUUUUUUGUUUUUUUUUUUAACUUAAGAUCACUGGUGAAAUGAUCUGGAUCUUUUCAACCUGAAAUUUUGACAAGAUGAAUUGGUUUUUGGUAAAUUUAGACUGUAUUUGCAUAUUUACAUUGAAUUAUUAACAUUAUGUAUAUACUGUUCUUGGGGAUUUAUUGAUACAGUUCUUUGAUAGUGAAAAAACAACAAUACUGUUACAAGGAAAACAUGCUUUCUGGUGCUUUUGAUCCCUGCUAUUAGUGAAGAAAAUCAUGUUACUAUUUGUUUGUUCACAUUUAAAAUUCUGCUGCUGGAAUAUUGAUGUUGAUAACUUGAUAUGGAAGUAGAUGUUCAUGAUUUGUUAAAUGUUAAGAUGCAGGGUCUUUGUAUAAGUGAAACUUAGAUUAACUGCCUCUCCAAAAAUACAAGGGCUCACUACUGUCUGUAUUUAUUUGAGAAAUUAUGGGGUCAAAAGAAAAUGUCAAAUCAUGCUUGCAGUUUUUAUUAUUUCUUUAUUAUUAUUUGCAUUCUAAUUCAAGCUGGUCAUAUUGAUAACCAGCUCGAUGGUUUGGGAUAGAGUUCAACAAAUUGUUGGUGUGACAAAUAAUACCCAACGUUCAGGGAAUAUUCUGCCGCUAGCAGAAGAAUGUUGUAUAAUGUCAUCUACAGAAAAUAUUGCAAAAGAUCAUUCAAAUUUAAGACUCUUUUAGUUUCCACUUGUUUUCAGAAAAUCUUCUACUUGGGAUGAGUAACUAUGUUGCAUGAUAUUUCAUGUAUGAUGUUUGUGAGCGAUGAAAGUACCAAUAUAUGAACAGUUUAGUUAGUUUCACCACGUUGUAAUGUAUCUGUAAUUUGGGUGAUUGCCUGUUUUGAAUUUAGGUUUGGACAUCUGUGAAUGUGUUUCUUGUGUUGUGUGUUUCACAUGGUGUACUUUCUUCUAAACUGACCUUGCUUUGUCUAUCUGAUGGAAUAUUGGGAACCAGCUCAGGGAAUCCUUUGUUGAUGGCAGCACUAGAAGCUUUAAUUUUGUGGAAGUUAGCUUAGAGAUAUCUCCCACCAUUAUUACAUCUACUGGCCUUUUAGCUUGUCUGCCAAUAUCCAAAGCAAAUAUUAAAGCUAGUGUGGCACCAGUCUCCAUCACAAGAUCCUUAGAACUCACAAAAGAAUCUUGUUGUCCUGGUUUGGAUAAAGAUGGAGAUCUUGAUGUAGACUGUAAGUUUCUGAGCUUGUUUUCUGGAUUAUCGUCAGUUACCAUGAAUAGUGGUCUUGAACAAGAACACUCCAAUCCUGCUGUUACAAACAGUUCAAUUUGCAUUGAUCUUUUAGUAAAAAAGCCUAGAAAGGAAGGUUCAGAGCAACAUGAUAUGAAUCUAUUCAAAGAACCUUCAACAUCAGAAGCAUUGGAAGAAACUACCACAUCUUCCACCAGUACUGUGUGUUUUCAAGAGAAAGAGGAUUUGCUAGCUUUUGAUGAUCAGAGACUGAAUGGUUCAGAAAGCAUCUGUCAUCCACCAUCUGAAUCUUUUCCACAUAAUGUGCUUAAGAUUUUAGAUCAGUCAAGCCCUCAUUCUUGGAAGCAAAAUGAAAUUUGCAAUAGGAAUAUUCUUCAUGAAGAUCCUAGGAUUUUACCUACAGAACACAAUGAAGCAAUUUUGCCAUUUAUAUCCAGGAGCUCACUAUCAUCUAACGAAUUCAGAACUAACAGAGGUAGCAGCUUUUCUGAAUCAGAGAGUACUAUUGAGUGUUCCAGUGUUGUGUCGGAUGCUGGGAAAGAUGAGCACCUAGGGAGGUUUGAUAACAAUAUAGCUGUUGACAGUGAUGUUGCUCAAGAUAUGAGAGAGAGCAACAUAAUCUCUAAUAUACUUUCUAUGGAUUUGGAUGCAUGGGAUAAUUCAUUAAUCUCACCUCACAACUUAGUUAAGUUGUUGCGUCAAAUGGAUGAUCAACAGGGUUCCUUCAAGAUACCAAAUUUGCAGAAAAUACAAAAUUGUAGCCAAUCCAGAUUCUCAUUUGCAAGACAGGAGGAUUUUUCAAAUCAAAUUGCUGAUUUGGACCAUUCGGACAGUAAUAUUAGGAGCACACUGAAUAAAUAUUCUGCUCCACAAAAUUUCAUGUUAAAUAAGGAUUAUUGUUUGGAAAGAUAUCAAAAGAUCUCUUUGUCCAGCAGUUCUACGGCAUCUGAGGAUCAUCCUAUCUGUUCUUUUCCCUCUUCCAACAAGCUCUCUGGUAUGUAUCAACUAUUCUUGCUAUUAGGAGAAUAUUUGAUAAAAACUAAUAGUUACUUGUAGUUGGGGUGGGGUUCUUUAUAGCAUUUAAUUCCAUUAAACAAUGGGAGUUAUGCUUGUUCAAUGGGAUUGGUAAAUAAUUGUGUAAUUACUACAGUUUCUUUUUUAUGCUCAUAGGGGAGUUAUGUUUGUUCAAUGGGUUUUCAGUCUUGUAUUUUCAGGACGUCUGGUAUUUAGUUCUUCUCUCAGAGCCUUCCAUAGUACAUGGUUCUUUGGCAGAUUGCAUGUAAUUUUUGAUUUUUUUUUUCUCUUGUUGUGAUUUCUUAUAGCUUACUCUGGCCCCUCACUACAAACCAAAAAUUCUGUUCUCUGGUAAUGUAUGCUUUGUUUGGUGCUUAAUUUUUAUUGGUAAACCUUUUUUGUAAAGCUUAAUAUCCUGUUUACAAUAUUGUUCUCUGCUUCAAUAUUUAGGAGUUUCAACAACUUGAAAGUCAACCCCACCGGGAUUUUCAGUACUGAGCCGGGCAUCACCUCCAGUGGUUUUUUCUCACGAGGGAGUGGACCUGCCUUCUCACAACUAUGGUUUGUGUUUUUUUAUGAUGGUUUUAAGGUUUUCUAUUUUGAAUAGUUUCUAAUUUUCCUUCACUCUCAAGAUCAUGUUCUCUUCAACAAAUGAUGCUUAUGGUUUUCCUCCCAUGGUUCUGGAGCAAUAUGAAGCCGGCAACCCAUCCUGGUUUGUGCAAUUGGCUGCUCACCAAUUUAGAGAUGGCUACAUUUCAAACAGCCAUUGGGGAGGUUGGAAUGAGGUGAACAGCAUUGGUGAUCUUGCUAUGUCAGAACUCCUGAAAAAUCAGAGGCUGGGGGUCAAGAAGUUUGUUCCUGGCUACAGGGAUUUGAAGUUUCAAAUAUCCAAUUUUGGCAAUCAAUACAACAGAGGAUUUGGGAUGUAAUUUUCAUGGGAUUUCAACUGCUCUUUCUUUCUAGUUAAUCUGACAGAAGUGGUUGAGUGGGUGACUGGUAGGGCACCUGUCUGCUCUUUCAAGGACAAUGGAUACUCAGACCGAUGUUCUCCACAUGUACCCAUAAGAUGGCCAGAUUAUUCAGGUCACUGUCUUUGGUUAGUUUCAGCCUUAAAUGCAUGUCUAUUGCAUGUAGACUAUGUUUCUAGUUUCUACGCAUGAAAAGAAGUUGAUGAAGUGAGAAAUAUAUCUGCUCCUUCUGAAAAAUGACUUCCUUUUUAAAACAAAAUGUGUUCCUUAUUGAGGGAAGAACAGAACAUUUUGUAUUCACAAAUUCUGUCUAAUAUAAGGCUAUGUUGAUUUCAUGUAAGUAUUGUUAGGAAUAGUGGUUAAUGGUUGUUGUCCACGUGUAUAGCUUUGUUAGAAUAAAAACAUAGUCAGUUAGCUGCUAAGAAGGGUAUUUAUAUACCUUGUUGUAAUCAUUCUUUUCAACUAAUGAGAUAUUCUUUUCUCUGUUAAGUUUUCUCAUAUGGUAUCAGAGUGGUUUAGGGCUGCAAAAUUUCUAGGGUUUUUGAAAGUCAGAAAAUGAUCGAAUAGAAAGUUAGUGCUUUCUUUCUUUGGCUUUUCUUGCAGUUUGCUGAAAAUUUCAGAGACUAAAAAGGCAUCAUUUACUCUGAAAUUUGGAGUCUUGAUCCAUAAAUGCCUUCAAUGGAGACUCUGAUUCAAACCAUUGCUCAAGAUUCAUUAAUGGCAGCUCAAGAACAGUCAAGAUUUUUACCUGUGAGUUUCACACAUUCUUUUUCUGUGAAACUUGAUAACAACAAUUUUCUCAUUUGGAAACAACAAGUGGUCUUUGCGAUCAAAGGUUAUGGAUUACAAAGAUUUGUCUUCUUUGAGUCUGCAAUUCCUCCAUGGUUUCUAUUGAAAGAAGAUGCACAAGCCGGAAAUGUGAACAAAGCCUUUGUUGAGUGGGAACAACAAGACCAAUUGCUUCUUUCAUGGUUGCUCUCGUCAAUCUCUGAGAAAGUUCUUCUGAGGUUAGUUGGAUGUGAAACCUCUUUUCAAGUUUGAGUGAAAUUAGAGCAAUAUUUUGCAUCUCAAACCAGGGUUAAAAUCGAAUAGUUUAAGGAUCAGCUUAAGACUAUGAAAAAGGGAUCUUUGAACGUUGUUGAAUAUCUGUCCAAAAUCAAGAGCUGUGUUGAUUUUUUAGCCUUGGUUGGUCACAUUCUCACAGAUAAGGACCAUAUUGAUGCUAUUCUAGAUGGCCUCACUGAUGAGUAUGAUGCUUUCAUCACCUCCAUUCUUACUAGAUCUAAAUCCUAUACAGUAGAAGAAGUUAAGUUUUUGAUUAUGGCAUAAGAAGCUAGAAUUGAAAAGAAUGCAAAAUCUCUUGAUUCUGCAGCAAGUGCCAAUUUUGCCUCGUCUUCUACUAAUAAUGGUUUUGGAGGUCGUGGCAGAAGCAAUUUCUCUACCAACUUUGGUCAAGGAAGAGGUUGAGGUAUUGGUAAAGGUAAUGGAGGUCGUUUCAAUGUUGGAAACUUUGGUAGAGGCAGAAAUUUUAAUGGAAGCAGAGGAAAUGGUGGCAGAUCUGGCUAGAAUAACAACUGGAAUAAUACUGGCAAACCUCAAUGCCAGCUUUGUCGAAGGUUUGGACAUGACGUUGAAAGGUGUUACUACAGGUUUGAUCCAAGUUUUGUUAGUCCAACCUCCUAUUCUCAAAAUAGUGGUGGUCCUCGUGCUUAUCUUAGCCAAGCCUCUCCUCAUUCCUCAACUUUGUUUACAACACCUGAGGUGUUCAAUGAUAACUCUUGGUACCCUGAUUUUGGUGCUUCAAAUCAUGUCACUCCAAAUGCUAAUAAUGUUUAGCACAACACUGAAUUUACUGGUCAAGACAAAGUACACAUUGGUGAUGGUUCAGGUUUGUCAAUUUCUUGAAUUGGUCAUUCUUCUUUACUUUCCUCUCUUACUCCUAAAGUUCUCUCCUUAAAUCGUAUGCUUUUGGUUCCUUCUAUUACAAAGAAUCUUCUUAGUGUUUCCAGAUUUGCAAAAGACAAUAAUGUCUUCUUUGAAUUCCAUUCUGAUGUUUGUUUUGUUAAGGAUCAAGAUUCUCAUGUUGUUCUUCUUACUGGGAAAGUUAAAGAUGGUCUAUACUCGUUUGAUUCAUCAAAUUUGUGCCUUGCUUAUCCACAAGCUGCCUUCAACAUUUGUCAAUCAUCAUCUGUUGUAAAAAGUUGUAAUGUUCAAACCUGUACUGUUUCAAAUCCUUGUGAUUCAAUAAAGCCAAAUGUUUUUUAUCUCCGGCAUACCAGAUUAGGUCAUCCUUCUGUUUAAGUUGUAAAAACAAUUCUUUCAUAGUGUAAUGUCCCUACUAUCAAUCAAAUGACACCUUUAUUUUGUUCAUCAUGUUGUUUAAGCAAAAUUCAUAAAUUUCCAUUUUCUAGGUCUGACACAGUUUAUACUGCUCUUCUACAACUGAUUCAUUAUGAUCUAUGGGGUCCAACUCCUGUCCCUUCAAGUAGUGGUUAUAGAUACUAUGUUCAUUUUGUGGAUGCCUAUUCUAAAUUCACCUGGUUAUAUCUUCUUAAAAAUAUAUUUGAUGUCAUCCAAACCUUUAUCAAUUUCAAAACUCAAGUUGAGAUUCAACUUGAUUCCAAAAUAAAAGCCUUUCAAUCUGAUUGGGAUGGUGAAUUUAGAUCUUUUUAGUCAUUCCUUACUCAACAUGGUAUCAUUCAUAGAGUGUCUUGCCCUCAUACUCAAGAACAAAAUGGAGUGGCUGAAAGAAAACAUCGCCACAUUGUUGAAAAUGGUUUAGCCUUGUUAGCUAAAUCUUCAAUUCCUCUCAAAUAUUGGGAUGAAGUUUUCAGAACUGCUGUGUUUCUUCAUAAUAGACUUCCAACUCCUAUCCUAAAACAAAAAUGUCCUUUAGAACUUCUCUUCAAAACCAAACCCAACUAUUCCUUUCUAAAAGUGUUUGGUUGUACAUGCUAUCCUAACACUCGCCCUUUAGCAAGCAUAAAUUACAAUUUAGGAGCAUUGUUUGCACCUUUACGGGAUACAACUUAAACCACAAGGGAUAUAAGUGCUUGGAUUCAAAUGGCAAGUUGUAUAUUUCUAGAGAUGUUACAUUUGAUGAAACAACAUUUCCAUUUGCUCGAACUAAUCAAUCUUCCUACUCUAUCCAUAAUUCCUCUUCAUUGUCCAAUUCUACCCCAUCUGUUGGUCCACCUAUUCUAACAAUCCCAUCUCAAACUCAUUCUCAUCCUAUUUCACACUCAUGUCCUGUUGUUAUUUCCAUUGACCGGCCAAUCAAUGAGGUUGAUUUACCUUCUGUUUUCAAUGUACAUUAUAUUUCUCCAAUAACUGAUGUUGUUGUGCAGGAUAUUGUUUUUUCUGGUAAUGCUAAUUUGAAUAGAAGGACAGGUCAACCAAGAGGUCAAGAGAAUACUCAUGUCAUGACAACAAGAAACAAAAAUGACAUUACCAAACUUAAAGUGUAUAUUGCAGCAGUAAAGGAACCAAAGAUAGUUGAGUUGGCUUUACAAAAGGAUGAGUGGAAACAAGCCAUGAUAUCUGAAUUUGAAGCUUUGCAAAGAAACAACACUUGGUCUUUAGUACCCUUGCCUGAAGGAAGAAUACCUAUUGGUUGUAGAUGGAUCUAUAGGGUCAAAGAAAAUCCUGAUGGUAGUGUUGAAAAAUACAAAACUAGGUUGGUAGUCAAGGGUUUUCAUCAACAAGUUGGAUUUGAUUUUAAUGAGACUUUUAGCCCAGUUGUGAAACCAACAACUAUCAGGAUUGUAUUCACCAUUGCCUUAUCUAGAGGCUGGAGUGUUAGGCAAUUGGAUAUAAAUAAUGCCUUUUUGAAUGUUAUUUUACAAGAGGAAGUGUUUAUGUCACAACCUCAAGGCUUUGUUGAUGAGAAACACCUUGAAUAUGUUUGUAGACUGCAUAAAGCUCUCUAUGGACUCAAACAGGCACCACGAGCCUGGUUUGAGAGACUUCACAAAGCACUUCUAUAGUUUGGAUUUGUCUCUUCCAAGGCAAAUCAAUCUCUCUUUUUCAGGAUUACAUCAACCCAUACCACCUACAUUCUUGUCUAUGUAGAUGAUAUUUUGAUAAUUGGAAGUAAUGCAGAGGUAGUAACUACUCUUAUUAAACAGUUGGAUGUUGAGUUCUCUUUGAAAGAUCUAGGAGAAAUAACCUGUUUUCUGGGCAUUUAGGUUACUCAUAUAGUGAAUGGAUUUCAUCUCUCUCAACAGAAGUAUAUAAGGGAUCUUUUGGUGAAAACUAAAAUGUUGUAGGCCAAGGGUCUUCCCACUCCCAUGACUAGUGGCUUAAAGAUUAGUUCCCAAGAUGGAGUUUCAGUUGAAAAUGCCCAGCUAUACAGAAGUACAGUAGGAGUUUUACAAUAUGUUAUGGUAACUAGACCAGAAUUGGCAUAUAGUGUCAAUAAAGUUUGUCAAUUUAUGCAAAGGGCUACAGAUGAGCAUUGGAAGGCUGUAAAACGCAUUCUAAGGUACUUAAGAGCAACCAUGGAUUAUGGCAUUCAUUUAAAGAAAGCUACUGAGUUGAGUUUAGUUGGAUUUUUUUAUGCUGAUUGGGGUUCAGACCUUGCUGAUAGACGAUCAGUUUCAGGUCACCAUGUCUUCUUUGGCAAUAAUGUUGUGUCUUUGCAUUCCAGAAAACAACAAUCAGUUUCCCGUUCCAACACAGAGACAGAAUAUAAAAGUUUGGUUGAUUGUUGAAGUAACCUAGAUUCAAUCCUUACUAUCUGAAUUGCAAUGCAAGACACCUAGAAUACCAGUUCUGUGGUGUGAUAAUCUCAACACAGUGUUGUUAUCUACCAAUCCCAUUCUUCAUGCUUGAACAAAGCACAUAGAAUUGGAUCUUUAUUUUGUAAGGGAAAAGGUUUUGAAGAAAGACAUAGAUAUAAGACAUGUACCAGCAAAUGAACAAGUGACAGAUGUUUUAACUAAAGCAAUCUCCAGUGGACAGUUUAAUCAAAUGAGGAACAAACUCAAAGUGGAAGACCUUACAACUUUGAGUUUGAAGGGAGAUGUUAGGAAUAGUGGUUAACGGUUGUUGUCCACGUGUAUAGAUUUGUUAGAAUAAAACAGAAUUAGUUAGUUGUUUUGUUAGGAUAAAAACAAAGUCAGUUAGCUGCUAAAAAGGGUAUUUAUAUACCUUGUUGUAAUCAUUCUUUUCUCUGUUAAGUUUUCUCAUAAGUAUAAACUGCCAAGUGUUUGUUUAUCUUGUUUUUCCAAUUGCAGGUCUGCUGGAAUGAGAAAUGCAACCUUGAGGUUUUGUCUAUGCAAUGCUUUCAUCAAAGCAAGUCAUACUCAGCCAUAAAAGAAAAGGGAAAGAAGCUGUGCUAUCCUUGUCCAUCCGCAAUCAAUUGUAUGGACUAAUGUUUGAAUUGAAAAUCUUGUUGAAGAAGGAUUAACAAUUGUCAGUGUUUGCUACAUCAAUGUAAGUAAAGAAUCUUGGUUGGAUUCCCAACCCCUGCUCCUUUGCAUAUGAAGGUAGCAGUUGCAUGUCCUGCCUCGACUUGCAUUUAGAAAAGACGAUUUCAGGAAGGACAACGUAGAUUUUGCUGGUAUUAAGGUAUAAUACUGUGUGUUUGCUCGGCCCUGAGUUUAAUUGCAAUUCAAUUUAGGAAACGAAUAAUAAUUACUGGAUUACAAAGUAUCCAUUGUUGGGAAUUCAAAUUUGCUAGCACUUGUUCUUGUGGCGGAGGUUUGGAGCUGGAUUGGAUCCCAACCCAAGUCUUUUGCAUUGCUGGCUAGGAUCCAAUUUGCAAAUGUUUUAGCAUAAAAAUGGUUGCUUGGAUGACCCUUGAAAAUUCGGAGUCACUGUCAUUUGUCUAAUUUUAGUUGUGGCUGCCUCUUUCCCGACCUGUCUACAGAGGAACACCAAGAGUCCUACAGUAAGCAGAAUGAUUCGGCCUUACUCAUAAAUGAGCAGCAAAGGUAUGCGUCCCUUGGGUCUGGUGGCUCAAGCAGCUCAUCUAUGCAAAUUGUUUCAUCAUCAUAUUUUAAAUUAAUGUUAAUUAUUUACAAUUUGAUUCGAAUGAAUAGACUGAUUUUUCAUCCUACGGACCUACACAAGACAGGUAAUGCCAUGCCCAGUUUCACUCCAAGGAAAAUAAUAAUAUUAUCGACAAAUUACCCGUCAAACUGUCUGAUAAAUUCUCCUAACAACAAAAAUAAAAAAGGUAAAAACCUGAGUGCUUUUAAUUUUUUUAUUAAUUGCGGUAAUGGAUUUGAUAGCUUAAAAGCCAACCAGUCCAAGACCCAGGCACAUGAGACUCAGGAGCAUCAGCUUUGGCAGUAUGUGUGACUUGUGAGGAAGAGAGGCUUCAAACUUAAAUAGGGCCGACCACGUGGAUGUCUGUAUUUGGAGAUGAAGUGUAGAUUGACAAGUCAUAGCCCCAUCAUGCAUGACGCUCUUGAGACUCCUCUUCCACCUUAAGUAUCAACUAUCAAGUAGGCGAGCCAAUAGAAAUUAGAGCCUGCAAGGAAAUUACCUGAAAAGGAUGUGGUUUUGAAUUUUGAUUUGACAAUGCUUAGUUUAUGGGGUCUGAAAAAGGAGAGCCUACUUUCUUGGCUUUUAACUCUUCUUAGAACCCAAGUAAAAUUUGCAACAUUAACUAUGAGUAAGACCAUACUUCUUCUAAGAUUUUGAAAAUAACAUAGUAAUUUUUUAAAAUAUAGUAAUUCAAAAAAUAUUUUCAAAUUUAUGACAUUCUUUAAAUUAUUAAUAGGAAAUUGCUACUUUUUUUUUUAAUAAUUUGAAAAUUAAACUAAAAUCAUGUUUAAUGUGAUUUCAUUCAUUCAUGUCCGAAUGAAUCGAUAUUUCCUAAUAAAAUUCAUUCAUGGUGGCCUUACACAGUGACAUGACAUUUCACCGGUCACUUCACGAGAGUAGAGUAGGAGAUGCAUCUUGAAAAUCCCAGACAAAAUGGAGUGAGUUCAUUAUUCAGGAGGCGUUCAACGCCAUCUUAAGGAGGUACGUUGAAUAACCAAUGUGGAAAUUGCAUUAUGCCGUGAUCGGCCCCUGUACCAGAAUCCCAAUUCCGAGGCGAGUCUUAAAAACUGCCAAGUUUCCGUAACCUUUUGACAUGGUCGCAGCCAUGUUUUGCGAUGAAAAUCAUGUGGUAACCGCAUGGAGCCCAACAAAGCCAGAGGGAGAAAGCAAGUUAUGGGAUAUGGCGUUGGAGUUCGAAGAGAGUAGUAAGAAGGGAAAGAAGAGAAAUGAGACAUCUUUUAAAAGCCUGCAAGCAAUCACUGUCCUAUACUCCGUACAAUUGUACGCUGGGCCCUUCACCAUUGCUCAUGAUUCGUAAGUCAUGAUAUAGACGACCCCUUUUUCUUCCAACCCGCAGGUGUACGAACCUCGCACAAAGCCGAGGAAUGCGGGCAUUAACUUUCGCUAGGAAGCGAGGGGGGCUACCCCCACUUGGACAAGUGCCCUCCAUGUAAGGCCCUGGUAAGUACCAUAAGUGUAAUUUUUCUUUUUCUUUUUUAUUAUGCCUUCUAUUUUCUCAUUCAUUUUUUAUUUUAUUUUUUCCCAAAUUGGAGGGGCAGAUGGGAAGCACUGUAGUAACUAGUAGUUGUGGAGAAAUUUAUUUCAAUGAGGUAGAAAAGGAAAUGCAGACCUAUAAUUAUCAUCAUACAGAAACGCUGGUUUAGCUAACGUAGGUCGACUUUAAGUUAAGCUGAAGCCACCCAGCCAGGGUUGAAACUUGACAGAAUGGGCGAGUCCAGUUCGACUCCACAAAUACACAUUCAGAUCAGGCAUUAUUAAUAAGAUUUUAAGACCAAUGCAAAAGUUCUAAUGGUGGCAAUGAAUUUGUAAUUUAAUAAAAGAAUAAUUAUACUUAAAAAAGUAACUCAAAGCAUGCUUUUAUAAUUAUUUAAAUGAUAACAAGAUGAUAAAUACUUUUUUUAUUAAUUGGUUGUAUUUCACUUAUUAUAUUUAUUUAUUUAUUUCAAAAUUUCAUUAUUUUUUUAGAAAUUUUUUUAAAACUUUUUUAACUAUCAUGUUUUGUAGUGGAACGUGUCUCAAAUUUCUAUUUAGAAUAUAUAUAUAUAUAUUAUAAAAGAAAUAUUACAUAAAACAUUUUCUAAUUUUAGAUAUGAGAUGAGAGAAAAGAAAAAAGUUGGUGCACUAUCUUUAUAAUAUUCUAGGUCAUGAUUGAGCAAGAAGGCUCAUCAGGGUGUAUGUGUAGAUGUGAGAAAAAGAAAUACCUAAUAGAGUACAAGAAUUCUUAGUUCGAGACAAAGAUACAAAAAGAAUUAGUAAUUAUAUCUAUUUUCAUAUCGUUUGUAAUAAUUUACAUCAUAUAAUGGAAUGUUUUAUCUCAUAUGUGGAAGUAUGUAUGAUUGGCCUAAAACCCAAUACUUUUAUGCGAUUUAUUUUAUUUUUGUGUUCUUUCUUUUAAUUUUUACAUCGACUUUAUUGGCAUAACAUUCUGUUCAUACCUCAAUAUCAAUAUGAGAUGUUACAUGGAUCAAUCCUGUCUUAAACUGCUGAAUUAGCCAAUUCAGGCCGAUAUACAACAUGAGGGGUGGAGAUGGAAAGGUAAGUUCGUGAUGGAGGGUUGCCUCCUUUUGGGUGCUUGAAAACCUUAAAAACCACUUUGGAAAGAAGGGGACCCAAUUUGAGAAGAAAAUAAAGAACAUAUACCCCACAAAACUGUAGAAUGUUUUUUAUUUCAUCGAAAUUAAAUUACAAAAUCACUUGGAAAUUGUUGUCUGAUAAGUUCAAAACAUUUUCACGUGGCCUGAUGUUUUUGGCAGACGAUGUUUGAAGAGUAUUUGAAAAUUUCCCUUGAACAUGACUAACAGCUCUUCUAGUUUUAAGUUCCUGAUGUUUCCUAAUACUAAAUAAGUUUAUUGAAAAGCAGAUUCCUUUGCCUUAAAAGAGAGUCCCGGGUAACUGUGAUCAUGCAGGCUAAGUAAAAGCUUGAGCGCCAAAGAGGUCAUGUAUAUGGAUAAGGCAAAAAUGCAGCCCUUUCAAAGAAGACAACAUCAAUGAUGAAGUUUCAAACAAGGCAAAAAUAUCUAAAUUGGCUCAUCCCACUCAGGCUAAAGCACCCUGAUUUAACAGGCUUCAUAAAAGAGAAAGAUCAAUCUAAUGUCUCAUAUCUACAACCACACUUCAAAAUUAGAAUAUAUGAAUUCAUUUACCAAUCUUAGUUUGCUUUGCUUGCCUACCCACCUGCUUUCAAUGCAAAAGAGAAGAUAAUGAAUUGUGGCUGUUUCUGCUGGUAGCUUGUUUCAGCUCCUGCAGUAGUAGUAAGGGGAUAUACUGGUGGUGUUGGUGAGUGAUGGAGAGUAAUAGUGCUGGAGAACUGUUGUACUCUGUAAGCUGCCUUGAGUGGGAUUAGCUGGUGAAGCAGUUGUAACCGAAGACAAGAAUCCUGAUGAUGCUGCAGUAGAGAAGAGAGGUGGAGUAGCCCCACCAUAAGGGCCAUGAUUUUGCCAUGCCCAGUUUGGCAAGUGAUCAACUUCAAUCCUCUUCUCUAUUGCUCUUUCCUGCUAAUGGCAAAACCAAUGCUGGUUUUAGCUAACAUAUAAAUACUUGGGAGUUUUCUCUCUGUAAUCAAUUUGUCAAUAGCAAAAUCAUGGUGUUAUUUUAAUAGUAAAUAUACAUCGUUUGUCAGAUGCGCAUAAACUUAAGUGAACUCCACAGCAUAAACCUGGAUAUCUAGGCACACUGGAGGAGAGUUCAGAAAGCUCUUUCCCAGGACAUUGUCUUAGAAAGAUUAAGAUUGUCUUAGAAAUGCAGGCAAAAUAAGGCAACUCAACUUGAAAAUCUAUCCAAGGACGUUGUUUUAGAAAGGUUAAGAUUAUGGGUUAAGUUCAUAAAUUUAGGAGGGGAGGGUAUGGUCUCUAGUCUUUGAGGAAAAAACAUCUUGCCCACAAAAAAGAUCACCAAAAUGAUUUGAUGUUCAAACCGACUGGCAAAUAAAUGAUUGAAAUGCGGCCAACCAUACUCUAGAGGUUAAAUGGUAAAAUAUAGGUGCUAUUUCAAAUUAAUAACUUGAGGAAAAUCAUUGUUUCAUUUACUAAUACCAGGAAACAGAGGAGGCACUUGAGUGAAAUUACCUUAUAGAUAGGAAAGACACGAGAAUUUACACCACUCCAGCUAGGAGGGUGAUCAGAUGCCAUUACCAGGCCAUAUGAUGGAUGAACCCCCAGUGUUGCUGAAGUAGAGUUCUCAAUCUGUAAAACAACAGAGGGCUACCAGGUAAGUUUACUUGAGACCUUAUGCAACUUUAAAGUCACAGAUGAAUAACUGGAGGAUCAAUCUCAAAGUCACUGAUUCCAGAUUAGGGAAAACUAAAAUUUAACCUUACCCUUUCUCCCCUGUCAUCAGGCAUGGCAUCGUGGCCCUGCCGGGAAGGAGAACCAUUUGCUUUGCUGUUCCUAACUGGUUCAUCAGACAUUGGUUCAUCAGAAAAAUAUGGAGCGACUCCCAAGUGCAGAUCAAGAUUGGGUAACAGGUUUAGAUUUUGGCUACUCCCUGUGUAAAUUAUGUUUAUGAACUCCAGGAUUAGUUGAUUAUGUACAAUUUUUUUUUUUUUCUUUAAAAAAAAAAAGUUCUUAGAAGACGAAGUAAAUCAAGAGCUUUUACCUCCAUUAUCAGCUGGGAAGAUUAUCUCUCCUUCGUAUGUGCUUGGCUCAAAGUUGGUUACUGCUUCUCGUCCAUUGCAUUUUAUAGCAGCCUUGUCGUAGGCCCUGCUUUCAAGAAACGAAGGAUUCCUUAUGAGGUUGAGAUGUCUAAAUUAAGACAUUCAGUAUGAGGAAGAGAUUCAAACCUUGCAGCUUCUAUCUCACUAUCGAACAGACCAAGAUAAAUAUACCUGCAGGCAAGCAUAUACCAACCAAUGAAUACCAUCUUCACAUCCAUACUCGACCAAUCCAAUUUAUUAAAAAAUCAGGGAAAUAGAAAACGGGAUGACACGAUAACACAGUUAAUACUACUAGACACAUCCAAGGAUUAGAAAAUCAUUCAAAUAGAAGAUCUCUCACUUCUUGCCCAGAAACUGUCCCAUUCGAGCUUCCCAUCGACCACAUUUGUGCAGUGUCACUCCCCUGUACUUGGAACUUCCUCUCGAGAAUCCAGUGCUCCCGCGACGGAGAACAUGCACAAACUCUUCCUUGGUGAAGUUACUCAUCUGAAAAACAAUAUCCAUUCAGGUUCCAGAGAGAACCCAAAUAUUGAAUUGAAUCGGUAGCACCUACUUUUAAUUCUCUAACCAACCUGCUUAAUGUCCUCGUCAUAAUCACUGACAGCAAAAUUGAUAUCGGCAUCAGCACCGCGGAACUUGAUGGCAGCUCGAUCAUAUGCCCUGAAAUUAUGCAACAAAAUUUAUAAAAAAAAAAAAAAAGAAGAAGAAAGAAACAAUAAAGAAAUAGUCCACAAAUCAUACCGAACAAAAAACUAUAUCAAGCAGGAAAAUUAUUUUAUAGUUAAGUAAUGAUUCUAACCUAGCUGCAGCAUGCGCAGUGUCAAAUCCACCUAUAAAAAUUAUAGGAAGAAGAAAAAUCAAACACCCAGAUAGAUUAAAACAGGCACCAUACACAUGAAAUUUUCUAGUAGAAUUGAUAAACAAAGUUGAGUAAACGAAAGAGAUCAUAGCUACUCACCCAAAUACACUUGUUUACCACAAUCCCUGAACAAAACAAACCACAAAUAAGCAUUCAAUUCAAAAUCAUAGAAAAGUACGAACAGGGACUCCAUUAUCCACAAACACAUUAUACAAACCAUAUAUGCGAUUCCCAUCUCCCAGUUCUCCGAUAAAAGGUAACUCCUCGAUACUGCGAGCUCCGUGACCUUGGCCCCCGCCGACUCUUCUUCACCUGCUGUUGCUGUUGUGGUUUCUUUGGCAGCAGCGGGCCACCGGAACCCACCUGCAGGAUACACGGAUGCUGCAAAGAAGAACCCAAAGAACAGUCACCUUCCCCACCACUGGUCACCGGGAAAAACUGCCUCGUAACAGAAUCUGAGCUCUUAUUGUCAUGAUCUUCAUUUUGCUUGAAGAAAUCGAAGCUAAACGCUACAAUGCCGCAGCAGUGAUCGAGGUGGUUAGAAGAAGAGUCAUCGUCGGCGGUGGUGCUGCUCAAGGCAUCGGCAUUGACGAUGGAGGAAUUGAAGCUUCCAGAAUCUUCCAUUUGGUUGCUAGAAAGGUCAAGGAGCUUCCCCGGAUCCACCGCCUGGGUAGAACCGUGAAAUGAAUCAUCCGAAACAUCAUUAAGAUUGAGAUCCAACAUCACGUCUCAAGUCCAAUUAUAUUGAAUAUGGAGGAUCGGAUGGAAGAUUGUGAAGAGUCAAAUUAUUCAGUAUUAAAAAACUAGUGCAAGAGUGAAACUACGAAGGAUCGGAUGGAAGAGUGAGGAAGGGGAGAUCAGUCCAGUAGUUCCCAGAGAAAGCUUGCAUUAGCGAUGAAGAAACGUAGAAUCACGGCAUGGGCUGUGGUCGGGGACAUGGGAGGUUUCAUGUAGUGAGAGAGGCAAGGGGUCGCGUGGUUGGUGUGUGUGACUGAGGAAAGUACAUCACUACAAGACUCCGAUACAUUGAGAGAAAGAGAGAGCGCGCAGAGGGGGGCAGAUGGAUGGGGAUGAGGGAGAUGGGACGUAUGAAAGAACAAGCAGCAGCUAUUUAUUCCCAUUUUCACAACAUUGCCUCAACCUUCCUUUUUGGCGCGUGGUCAAGCAAUUAUAACAUUACCCAUUUUUUUCUUGCUUCUUCUUUUUCCUAACCAACUGCUUGUAAACCUAAAUUUAACAAACUAAUAGCUUAUCGAUACAAAAAUUUUGAAAUCAAGUAUAUUUCCUGUUAUGCCCCUUUAGCGUUCUGCUCUAAAUUCCAAUUGCAAAAGCGAAACUCGCUCACGAGGGAAACGUUUUCCUGGCGGUCCAUAGGAGUCGGCCAUGGUAUCAUCGGGUGCUGGACUGCACAUUUUUAACUGGCGUCCGACACUUGUCAUACCCCCUUGUAGCCCACUACCUUUGCCCAUUGUCCUUUUACUUCACCAUUCCAAGCUGCAUACAGAAGUAUACAAAAAAUGAUGAACUUUAAACGUGAGGGUGAAUUUAGUCGCGUCUAUUGGUAAUGGUACCUUUUUUCCGAGAUUAAAAAAUUAUUCAGAUUUGAUAAAAAGAGAUACUGGACAUCUCACUGUUCAUAAAGUGGGAUAAGGUUUUGAUUUUCCCGACCAGCUUUGGUUUUCCCUCAUAAAUAUUAUGAAGAAUAAAGUGAAAUAACAUAUGGUUUUUCUUUUCUUUUCCCUUCAAAAACUCCUCACAAAUGCUGCACUAAAGAUCCAAGCGUUUAUUAUUAUGAGUGUGGGGAACAUGGGAAGUUUAUAAUGAAUAGCAUUAUUAAGUGUAAUUGAACCUCUUUUUCUGCAUUCCGCAAUAUGCAUAUAUGCCUUCAUUGGCCUAGCACCUACAUCCAGCUGUAAAAUAAUUUGUGGGUCCGGACCUGUAAAAUAAAGAAUAUAGAGCUUAAAAAAAAAAAUUUUACAUUUUUAUUAUUUUAAUAGUUUUUGAGAUUGAGUAAAACAAUGAUACUUUGGUUAUCAUCUGAAAAUCACAGCAAUUAGUUUUCUUGAAUGAAAUAAAACAUGUUUUAAUCUUUUUUGGACUGAAAAAAAAGAAGAAAAAAGAUUAGUCAUAAAUUUUCAAAUAUUUUGAUCCUUUUGCAUUUUAUCCCAUAUUUUCUAAUAAACAAUCAAUAUAAUUUAUAAUUUAUAAUUUAUUUUGCAUUAAUAACACAAUAUUAUUAGUUACUUAUAUUUACUUAAAUUAAUUUAUAUUGGUAUUAUUGAUAAACUAAUGAAACAAUUUCAAUUUAAUUAAACAAUUAUUUUAUUUUCUUUCUUUUUUCUCUCCUUUUGCAAAUAAAUUUAAAUUUUCUAUAUUAUAAAAAUUUGCAUCAAUUUAUUGACUAUAUAUAUCUAAGAUAAAUAAGAGCCUAGAAUGUGAAUCAACUAGAUAGAAUAUUACAAGGAAUUCGUUUUCAAAAAUAUAAAUUUCAUUUCCAAAUUAAUGUCAGGAAAACAAUACCAGGUGUUCAACGUGAGUCAACAGUAAAUUAAAAAAAAAUUCUCCAAGAAAAAGGAUUUUUUGAUAAUAAUUUUAAAUAUAUUGAAAGCAUAAAAAUAAAAAUUUACGAAAUAAGCUGAACUUGCGAUUUUUUAUAGCAACCCAGCAAAGCAGAAACUCUUACAUAAUAGGUAUUAACAUAAGGAUAGCGUAAACGAAUAUUUGCAUAGAUGAACAUUAUGCGAAAUCACGAAAACAUCUUUACCACAUCCCUAAGACUCUGAUCUUAAUUCUAACACUAAUGGGUUUAUUCGUUAGUGUCAGUCGCUUAACAGGCCCGGCUCUAGCAGGGUAGAAUCUCAGCCCAAAACCAGGAGCGGGGGGGUCAAGUUCUUGUGGAGCAGAUUAGCCCUGAAAAGCCCAAUGUAAUGUCCUGCAUUCCAAUUGCCAUGCCCAUACCGCGCCUGGGAUACUCAAGGCACACUAUGAGGGGUUCAGAUGAUAAUUUCAAGAAUCAUCAUACCCUCCAGCAAUUUUUAUGUGCCUCGACCGUCGACCAACGAUUUGCCAAAGUGCAAAGAACUGAUAAUAUGCGCCAUUCAGACGUCCCUUAUUCCAAUUAUCAUCUUAAACCAAUCACUCGUAACAGGAGUCACGAGGCCAACUUCUAGCUCCCAUGCAUAUCGUACAAAGAUACAAGCAAUGUUUGUGAUGCAGUUAAAACAUUUUAAAAAAUCAACAAUAAGAAAAACGAAGAAACAUGUUCAAAAUCCUACCUUGCAUUCAAGAAAAACAUAUGAUGCUGGCAAAACCUAUGCCAUCUGCACCAUUUUAACGGCAGAGUUAUCAGAGGCCAUGCGACAUCAAUUUGUCUUCGAAAAUCGGAUCGCCUUGGUCCCAUCUACCGCUAUGGCAUUGCAAUGUUUCAUUCAGACAUUCAUAGCUACAUGGCAUGAAUAAGAGCACAUUUUACCCGUCUAAAUAUGGUAUAGAAGGGUAUGUCCUAAACAGCAUAUGUUUCUUUACAAAAUAAUCCUAAAGCUUUGAUCAAUCUGAUCCUUUAUAUUUAAGCAGAUGCAUUCAACCAAAAAGCCUAAAUACACAAAGCAUCAAACAGGAAAAAUCCAUCCAUGCUUCAAGCAGAAAAACACAAAUGGAUUCCAACAAAAUAUUGACAUAAACCAAAUGCUAAAGCACCAAAAAAACAUUAUGGAUUCAAACAAAAUGUUGGAAGGUUACCAAUGUAGAAGUUUGACGUCCAAACAUAAAGCAUAAACCAGAUACUUCUAAAAUAUUUUAACUCCAGUUCUGUUUCAACUAAAAGAUUUACCCACCUAACUGGGAAAGUAAAUAAGAAGGGAAGUGAAAGGCCAAGGGUUCGUCUUUUGUUCGAGCCAUUCCUCUCCCACCUAAUCUCAUCCAUAAACUCAAAACCGCAAAUAGAGAACAAAACAAUUAACAAAAUAAAGGUCUCAAGGGUAUUAAAAACAGAGGGCGAAAUCACUGGGAGACACCAAGCCACUUUGAGAAGUUGUCAAAUUCAGUGUAAUCGCUGUCGGAGAUCAUUGUCUGGUACCAGGCCUUGCCUGCAGCCUUGAUGGCUGCAACCUCCUCCUGAGAAGUUAAAUAUAAAAGAAAACAUCAAAUUAGAAGCUAUCCCGGUUUUACAUCAUGUAAGGCAAUGAAUAUCUCUGUAACACACAACAAGGAAAAACCACUAAUGAACAUAAUUAUGAAAACUAAGUUGUGAAGAUACACUACUUCAUAUCAUUUAGAAUUAAAGCAUUCAACAUAUAUAAUCAAAUUCUAAUUGGUAAGAUAACGUAGUCAAGAAUAACUGCAAGAUAUGCUAGAUUAGUCAUAUAAACAAAUUCAAAAAGAUUCUCAAAUUAAAAAUUAAUACGAGAAGAAACAUAAACCUCAGACCUAAAAUACCACAAAACCAGGGGCCAAGAAUAUUUUAAUUUUUCCAUCUAGGGAUAAACAUAGUGAAGUUCAAGUGCAACAAUACAUAUUGAGAUCAUUAUUUAAACAGAUUUUCGGAUCCUGCCAUUUGCAUUAAGAUGCAUAUCUAGACUUGAAAUUAUCAUCCGGGGUACUCCACAUGCAUAUAAUUCUAUAAAAUUAUCCACACAGAUACAAAGUACACAUUUGAUAACGAAUAGGCAGAGAAGAGUUAGCUAUACCAUAUUGUUAGAAUUAUGUUAAUAGGAUUCACCUGAAAUAGCUAAAAACUGCAUAUGAAAACAUCAAAUGUCCAUGAUAUUUCAUGAUUGGAAACAUGGAAUUGUUGUGCACAGUUAUGGUUGCCGAGAAGAGAAAAUAAAGGAAGUACGAGCCCAUAUACUAGUAAAUUGUUUCAGUUCCGAAAAGCUAAUAACUAAAUCAAUCUCGAUUAAUAACUACACAGUUGAAGCAAUUGUAAAAUUCGACAUUUAUUUUCAUUAGUCCACAGAACCCAAAUAGAGGAUCCAGAUAUUUACCUUCGGAAUUUGUUUCCUCUUCUUGUCAAGCUUCUCCUGCUUGGCCUUGACCCGUUGUGCCUCAGCCAGAAGCGCCAUCCUUCUUGCAGUCUUUGCAUACGGAUUCAACUUCAGCAUAGUAUUCAAGUUCUUGAGCGGGUUCUUCUUCAUUGGUGCCCUCUUCACCUCCUUUUUGAUCGGCCUCACCACUGACUGAACCUCGUCGGAGUUGAUAAUCCUAGCCAAAUCAGCAUUAACCAUUUUUGAACGGGGCAACAAGUACCCAUUCUUCUUCUCCGAAGUUUUUUCGAAGGAUCCGUAGAUUGAAUCCAAUUUCUCGAAUGCUGAUUUGGUCCAAAUCACGAACCUCCCAAGAUGGCCACCGGGAGCGAGUUUCAGAAGAUUAAGUCUGUCCACAUUAGCGACCUCAACCCCAGGAAUGUUCCGGAAAGCCUUGACGAGCUUUGCACCCUCCGUGCCGUAGACGAUCAAGGGGCCCUUCCUAGAAAUGUAUCGGCGGUUCCUCAUUUUACCCUUCCCGGGACGAAUAGCGUGGCUGUCUUUCGCUUUCUCCGCAUCAGGAUAAGCACCGACCUGCUUCAGAAUAUCAAUCGCCGCCGAUGUUUUCUCAACGCUCUCGGCUGAAUCACCGAUCACCAGGGGAAGCUCGGGGACCGAUUCGAUCCGGUGGCCGCGAGCCAUGACUAGAGAAGGGAUAGCCGAAGCG
rnacentral:lncRNA from 1 species